GAUGAACGCUGGCGGCGUGCCUAAUACAUGCAAGUCGAGCGAACGGACGAGAAGCGUGCUUCUCUGAUGUUAGCGGCGGACGGGUGAGUAACACGUGGAUAACCUACCUAUAAGACUGGGAUAACUUCGGGAAACCGGAACUAAUACCGGAUGAUAUUUUGAACCGCAUGGUUCAAAAGUGAAAGACGGUCUUGCUGUCACUUAUAGAUGGAUCCGCGCUGCAUUAGCUAGUUGGUAAGGUAACGGCUUACCAAGGCAACGAUGCAUAGCCGACCUGAGAGGGUGAUCGGCCACACUGGAACUGAGACACGGUCCAGACUCCUACGGGAGGCAGCAGUAGGGAAUCUUCCGCAAUGGGCGAAAGCCUGACGGAGCAACGCCGAGUGAGUGAUGAAGGUCUUCGGAUCGUAAAACUCUGUUAUUAGGGAAGAACAUAUGUGUAAGUAACUGUGCACAUCUUGACGGUACCUAAUCAGAAAGCCACGGCUAACUACGUG
rnacentral:rRNA from 1 species